UAAGACGUAGGGGGCGAGCGUUGUCCGGAUUUAUUGGGCGUAAAGAGCUCGUAGGCGGCUCAGUAAGUCGGAUGUGAAAACUCCAGGCUCAACCUGGAGACGCCAUUCGAUACUGCUGUGGCUAGAGUCCAGUAGGGGAGUGUGGAAUUCCUGGUGUAGCGGUGAAAUGCAUAGAUAUCAGGAGGAACACCAGCGGCGAAGGCGGCACUCUGGGCUGGUACUGACGCUGAGGAGCGAAAGCGUGGGGAGCGAACAGGAUUAGAUACCCUGGUAGUCCACGCCGUAAACGUUGGGCACUAGGUGUGGGGCUUUAUCAACGAGCUCCGUGCCGCAGCUAACGCAUUAAGUGCCCCGCCUGGGGAGUACGGCCGCAAGGCUA
rnacentral:rRNA from 1 species